rnacentral:rRNA from 2 species
CUGGUGUCAGCCGCCGCGGUAAUACCAGCACCUCGAGUGGUCAGGACGUUUAUUGGGCCUAAAGCAUCCGUAGCCUGCUCUGCAAGUCUUCGGUUAAAUCCACCUGCUCAACAGAUGGGCUGCUGGAGAUACUACAGAGCUAGGGAGUGGGAGAGGCAGACGGUAUUCAGUGGGUAGGGGUAAAAUCCUCUGAUCCAUUGAGGACCACCAGUGGCGAAGGCGGUCUGCCAGAACACGUUCGACGGUGAGGGAUGAAAGCUGGGGGAGCAAACCGGAUUAGAUACCCGGGUAGUCCCAGCUGUAAACGAUGCAAACUCGGUGAUGCAUUGGCUUAUGGCCAAUGCAGUGCCGCAGGGAAGCCGUUAAGUUUGCCGCCUGGGAAGUACGGACGCAAGUCUGAAACUUAAAGGAAUUGGCGGGGGAGCACCACAAGGGGUGAAGCCUGCGGUUCAAUUGGAGUCAACGCCAGGAAUCUUACCCGGGGAGACAGCAGAAUGAAGGUCAAGCUGAAGACUUUACCAGACAAGCU